CCCUGCUAGAGAGCCUCCCCAACCGCCACUCCCAUGACAUUCCCUGCCUCGUGGUGUGGCAGGCCGGGCCUGCUCAGAUAUAUGGGGCAGUCCGGUGUCAGGCUUUCAACCUGAAAGGGUUUUUGGGCUUAGCUGUUUGCAACGUGGUCAGGGUCGAGGCAGUAACCCGGCACCCGGUACUGGACCACCAUGACGCUGGUCUCACACACCUCGGACACGCUGGACAUUACCAACGCCGGCCGGGGCCGGCUUCAGCAGCCGCAGACGGUAGCCUUGUGGGUGGCGGCGUCGUUGAGCUCUUCGUCAAGCUACGCCAGAGGAAGGAGCUCGGUGGUGGAUAGAAAACGCCUGAUAUGACUUGCGGGAGUCAAUCAAACCUCUCGUGCACCUGUGACCUACAAGACAUGGGAAAAAAUCUCCCGGCGGAAGAUAUUGUAUGGUUCUUUACAAUAAUUGAAUUCGAAUAUAUAUAUAUAUGUGUGUGUGUUUAAAUAGUCAGUUAUAAUUACGUAUUUGUCCUAAUUUAUCAUGCAGUGUAUCAGUCAGGCUGUUCGAUGCAGAAAUGCAAUACUAAUGCAUUAGAAAAUACAUUUAAACUAGAUCUUGUUUGUUAUAAUAUGUAGGCCAUAAUUAAAUCAUAGGUUGUACUAAAAAAAAAUGCUUCCUUGCUAAUCCGUCUCUGCCAAUCCAACUUGGUGUCCUGAAAUGACCUGGUAUCCUUGUAGUCUGAAACAUACGUAUGAAUACUGAGGCAGGUAAAAUCCUAAAACAAAAUGUAUUUUUUAAGUGACCAAUUAAAAUUGUGCUUAUGUUGAGGAACCGUUUUCACUUAUUAUAUUAUGUUGAUGCUUAUAUAUUUUUCCUUUGUCCUGGGUGUCCGUCAGGCAUUUAAAUGUAGCUGUGAGACAGACGUAACUUAGACUUGUGUAACUUGUAAACUGUUGAUAAUCCGCUGCAAUCGUGUGUUUUUUGUCUGCUUGGCACGUGGUUGUGGUAUGGGGAUGAAUCACAUUUUACUAAAAUAAAAUAUAUCAUCCGGGUUUCAGAAAACAUACUGAAGUUGCACUAACUGGAUCCCGUUUCAAGAA